GCCAGCAGCCAUAUCACCCUGCAGCUCUCAACUGGCUAAUGACUGAAGCUAAGCAGGGUUGGGCCUGGUCAGUACCUGGAUCAGAGAGCUCCUGGGAAGCUAUAGGUGUUGCUGGAA
rnacentral:rRNA from 1 species